UUUCCCGUCACUCAGGAUAUUAAAGGAGCGCCGGGACCUCGAGGACCAGACGGAGAAAACGGGCUGAGUGGAGAUCCAGGUGAACCGGGCCUGCCAGGACCGCCGGGAUCCCCCGGACUUCCUGGGAGUCCCGGGCAGUCGGGGUUAGCGGGAGAGAAGGUCAG